ensembl:lncRNA
AACUAGAAAAGGCAUUUCCUGCUGAAAAUGCGUUGGAAUGCAAAAAGCUGAAAGCUGCACUGAAUAUUUGAAAAUAGCUGAAAAUACAGAAAGUUGAAGGGAAUUUGAAUACAUUUGCUGAAAAGCUGAAAUGAAUUUGAAAUUGCUGAAAAUACAGAAAUGGGAGAAGCUGAAAGGAAUUUCAAUAGAUUUGCUGAAAAAGCAGAAAUGAAAACAGCUGAAAUAAAUUUGAAAUAUUGCAAAAAAAUACAGAAAUGAAUAUUAAAAAAUUGCUGUUGAUAGAGGCAUAAGAAUAGCUGAAAUUAUUUUAAAGAACUGCUGAAAAUACAGGAAGUGGGGAAGCUGAAUUCCAAUAGAUUUUCUAAAAACAGAAGUUGCAGGAGCUUAAAUUUGUUUAAAAUUGUUUGUAGUAAUAUUAGUAGUAGUAUUAGUUAUAAUUGUGGUAUUAGUAGUACUAGCAGUAUAAGCAGUAAUAGUAGGUUUAGUAUCAAUAGCAGUAGAAACAGCUGUAAUACUAUUAGCCAUAGUCGUAUUUGUAAUAACAUUAGUAGUAGUUGUAGUAUUAAUAGCAGUAGAAAUACUAGUAGUAUGAGCAGUAAUAGUAGGUUUAGUAUCAAUAGCAGUAGAAACAGCUGUAAUACUAUUAGCCAUAGUAGUAUUUGUAAUAACAUUAGUAGUAGUUGUAGUAUUAAUAGCAGUAGAAAUACUAGUAGUAUGGUAGUAGAAGUAUCAGUUGUAGUACUAGAAGUACGAGUAAUAUUCGUAGUGGGAGACAGAAUGUUUGUUAUUCACACUUAAAAGUUUUUAAUUAAUAGGCCUCAUCACAGACAUUACAGUAAAAAUUCCCUCCAUGGGGCUUUUAUUUUGAAAUUAUUGGAUUGGGUGGGGUGGGGGGGUGUAGAUAGAGGGAGGGAGGGUGAGAGGGUGAGGAAAGGGAGGGGGUGGUGAGGAAGAGAUAGGGGGAGAGAGAGAGAGGAGGAGAAAUGGACAGACAUACUGACUGAGUGAUUAACAGUGAGAAGAGGUCAGGGUGGAGGGGGAGGGGGGGCGAGUGUCUUUAUCAUAUUGGUCUGGUGACAGAAAGCAUAGCUGCGUCAUGUGACUCCACUAAUCAG